AUGAAAAUGUAAGUAUGAUGAAAAUUGCCCUUAAUUGGUUAGAAUCUACAGUGUACAUGCAGAGGGUACACACGGGUUAUAUCCAUUGAAUGACUUUGCUCAGUGCAUUAGUAACGAUGACCCAACGUUGACAUCUAUGGAUACUUAACGAUGAUGUUGACAUUUAGAUUUUUUUUACUAAUUGCAUAUUCUUUCUUCUGUCUGCAGACUAAUCACACGUUUGAGUGCCAGAUAGAAGACAAAGUCUGCCGUCAUGACUUCACAGUCCUGGGGAACAAGGAGAAGUACUGUGUUAGUCUGGAGGGGAAUUCAAUGGGCCACCGAGUUAUGUUCAACAGAAAAGGGCCCAUCUGUGUCAAUGAAGACAAAACAGUUUCACUGGAAUCCUUUUUGCCAUUGAUCAUCAUUGGCAUUGUGGCCUUUGUAGUCUUUGUGACAAUAAGGCUCUGCAAGAGAAGCAUGCGGAAAAGAAACUUGUCCAAUUUCCCAAAGACUUUGGCUUCAAUCUUAUCAAACUCACACGACAAGAAUAUAAUGGACCUGCAAUUUGAGAUCAUAGCGCACAUCAGUGGCAUAGAACCAGUUACCACCACAUCCCAGAGCCUGUUGGAAACUUCAGAAGAGGAGCAGGAACCGGUUGAGAGUCCGACCAAUAGCGUUGGAUUUUCGGCUAACCCCUUUAGUUCUGGGCAGGUGGGAGAGGGCUUAUCGGACAGCAGGAGCCAAUUACGGACUGAGCUUCAGGUGACACAGCCACACUCUGUGCUGCUGUGUGGAGAUGACUCCGAGGAAUCAGAGGACAUGGAUUCCACAGCUUCUGGCUAUGACAGACAACACAUUCCUCUACAAGAGGUGGAGGUGGAGAUGAGUGCAGGAGAUGUAGUGGUGGGCUAUGGCUUUGUGUGA
rnacentral:lncRNA from 13 species